rnacentral:rRNA from 1 species
GACGAACGCUGGCGGCGUGCUUAACACAUGCAAGUCGAGCGGUAAGGCCCUUUCGGGGGUACGACGAGCGGCGAACGGGUGAGUAACACGUGGGUGACCUGCCCUCAGCUCUGGGAUAAGCCUGGGAAACCGGGUCUAGUACUGGAUAUGACUCCAUGACGCGUGUUGUGGGGUGGAAAGCCUUGUGCGGCUGAGGAUGGGCCCGCGGCCUAUCAGCUUGUUGGUGGGGUGAUGGCCUACCAAGGCGACGACGGGUAGCCGGCCUGAGAGGGCGACCGGCCACACUGGGACUGAGACACGGCCCAGACUCCUACGGGAGGCAGCAGUGGGGAAUCUUGCGCAAUGGGCGAAAGCCUGACGCAGCGACGCCGCGUGAGGGAUGACGGCCUCGGUUGUAACCGUAC